UACGGAGGGUGCAAGCGUUAAUCGGAAUUAUUGGGCGUAAAGAGCUCGUAGGCGGUCUGUCGCGUCUGCUGUGAAAACUCAGGGCUUAACCCUGAGCUUGCAGUGGGUACGGGCAGACUAGAGUGCGGUAGGGGAGACUGGAGUUCCUGGUGUAGCGGUGAAAUGCGCAGAUAUCAGGAGGAACACCGGUGGCGAAGGCGGGUCUCUGGGCCGAUACUGACGCUGGAGGAGCGAAAGCCGUGGGGAGCGAAACAGG
rnacentral:rRNA from 1 species